UGUUUUUGUUGUUGUGUCAGUUUUGUCGACUCAAUCAGUCACGCACAACACAGGUUUUCUAAUCUAAAUAGAUAAAGAAUGUUUUGUUACAGUUACACUCACAAUGCUUGAUUCUUUGUCAAGUAGUAGCCAGUCCCGCCAAGAUGUUGUAUUUCCCAGCAAGCAUAAUUCUAAAGAGGACAUCUAUCUGGUCGCACACCAGACACUUCGAACGGAGCAAACCAUUGUCAAUGCAAAUCUUCCUAAUAUGGACUCGUGUUUCUACUAGCAUUUCGCAAGCCAUCAAUCAGUACAUCCAAAAUACAACAGUUCUACGAUGAAUAUUGAAGCAGCAUAUGGGACAGUGCACGGACAACACGGUGUCGUGAUUCGUUGUUACGUAAUUGGCAGCCGUUACGAGUCCUGCCCAUCGAGGUCUGCCUGUUGCAUAAGAAACAACUUUUUGCAUCAACCUGAACCAUUGAACCUGCAAAUAACACACCGCCGUCAACGCAGAACUUAUUCCUAAUGUGAGAGUGGCCUGCAUUCGCUUUUUAUUUUUUUGUGGGAACAGAAAGUGUCAAAAAUUUCAUGCUCGGCUCUGUCCAUUUUGACAAAGUGUUAGGUAAUUUUGGCUGGACAGCGAAUAGAUCGGACGUAAGAGGAAGUAGUUUGAUUCACUUGCUGGGUUUUGAUAAUUUUAUUUGAGGGAGUAAUGUUUCUUUUCGUCGCUUUCGUCGUUUCCAUCUGCUCUCUCUACUUGUCGGGAUUAUAACAAAUCGAAAUCUGGUUUCCAAGGGGUGCAACGGUAGCUGUUAAUUUUGCCCAAUUCCGGUUAGGAAAUAUAUUGUUACACUAUACAUUAAGAGCUGAUCGUAGGAUAAACUUGUUCGUCCCCUAUGCUUAAUAACUAUACAGGUUUUAUUUUGCUAUUGAGUUUUAUUUGCUGG